GCGGUAAUAGCUCAGUUGGUAGAGCGUUNNCAAGCCGAAGGUCGCGGGUCCGAGUCCCGUUUACCGCUCCA
rnacentral:tRNA from 1 species